CUCUUUGAGUUGCGGCGGCGGGUGAGUACCGUGGGUACCUGCCCAUAAGACUGGGAUACUCCGGGAACCGGGGCUAUACCGGAUAACAUUUUGAACUGCAUGGUUCGAAAUUGAAAGGCGGCUUCGGCUGUCACUUAUGGAUGGACCCGCGUCGCAUUAGCUAGUUGGUGAGGUAACGGCUCACCAAGGCAACGAUGCGUAGCCGACCUGAGAGGGUGAUCGGCCACACUGGGACUGANNACACGGCCCAGACUCCUACGGGAGGCAGCAGUAGGGAAUCUUCCGCAAUGGGACGAAAGUCUGACGGAGCAACGCCGCGUGAGUGAUGAAGGCUUUCGGGUCGUAAAACUCUGUUGUUAGGGAAGAACAAGUGCUAGUUGAAUAAGCUGGCACCUUGACGGUACCUAACCAGAAAGCCACGGCUAACUACGUGCCAGCAGCCGCGGUAAUACGUAGGUGCAAGCGU
rnacentral:rRNA from 1 species